UGCCAGCAGCCGCGGUAAUACGAAUGGAGCGAGCGUUGUUCGGAAUCAUUGGGCGUAAAGCGUAUGUAGGCGGACUUGAAAGUCAGAAGUGAAAUCCCGAGGCUCAACCCCGGAAUUGCUUUUGAAACUCCAAGUCUCGAGUCCCGGAGGGGUUGACGGAAUUCCUAGUGUAGAGGUGAAAUUCGCAGAUAUUAGGAGGAACACCAGUAGCGUAGGCGGUCAACUGGACGGGUACUGACGCUGAGAUACGAAAGCGUGGGGAGCAAACAGGAUUAGAUA
rnacentral:rRNA from 1 species